rnacentral:rRNA from 1 species
GAUGAACGCUGGCGGCGUGCCUAAUACAUGCAAGUCGAGCGAACAGACGAGGAGCUUGCUCCUCUGACGUUAGCGGCGGACGGGUGAGUAACACGUGGAUAACCUACCUAUAAGACUGGGGUAACUUCGGGAAACCGGAGCUAAUACCGGAUAAUAUAUUGAACCGCAUGGUUCAAUAGUGAAAGACGGUUUUGCUGUCACUUAUAGAUGGAUCCGCGCCGCAUUAGCUAGUUGGUAAGGUAACGGCUUACCAAGGCAACGAUGCGUAGCCGACCUGAGAGGGUGAUCGGCCACACUGGAACUGAGACACGGUCCAGACUCCUACGGGAGGCAGCAGUAGGGAACCUUCCGCAAUGGGCGAAAGCCUGACGGAGCAACGCCGCGUGAGUGAUGAAGGUCUUCGGAUCGUAAAACUCUGUUAUUAGGGAAGAACAAAUGUGUAAGUAACUAUGCACGUCUUGACGGUACCUAAUCAGAAAGCCACGGCUAACUACGUG